UGAAUUUCCUAGGGGGCGUCAAAGCUUACCGAAGAAUAUCAAACUCCGAAUGCCGUGUAGAUGUUGUAUGGGAGUCAGACUGUACGAGAUAAGUUGGACAGUCAAAAGGGAAAGAGCCCAGACCUGCAGCUAAGGCCCCAAAAUGUGUGUUAAGUGGAAAAGGAUGUGGGAUUUCAAAGACAACUAGGAUGUUGGCUUAGAAGCAGCCAUACAUUCAAAGAGUGCGUAAUAGCUCACUAGUCGAGAGGUCCUGCGCCGAAAAUGUCCGGGGCUGAAACACACUGCCGAAGCUCAGGAAUUAACUGAUGUUAAUUGGUAGAGGAGCAUUGUAUACGGGACGAAGCAGUACCGAUAAGGAGCUGUGGACUGUAUAGAAGAGAGAAUGCCGGAAUGAGUAGCGAGAGGAAGGUGAGAAUCCUUCCGGCCGAAUAUCUAAGGUUUCCAGAGUAAAGCUGAUCUGCUCUGGGUAAGUCGGGGCCUAAGGCCAGGUCGAAAGACGUAACCGAUGGACAACAGGUUGAAAUUCCUGUACCUUAAGUAAACAGAACUGUGGGGACACGUGUGGAGAGCACAAGCCGGAAAUGGAAAAGCCGGUGCAAGCGAGGUAGGAGUACAGUAGGCAAAUCCGCUGUACAAUCCGAAGACGUGAUGCGGACCGAAUUAAGAGUAGGGAAGUGUGUGAGCCAUGCGUCAAGAAAAGCCGCUAUUGUUUUACUUAAGCCCGUACCGUAAACCGACACAGGUGGAUGAGGAGAGAAUCCUAAGGCCGACGGGAGAAGCAUUGUUAAGGAACUCGGCAAAAUGACUCCGUAACUUCGGGAGAAGGAGUGCCAGCGAGAGCUGGCCGCAGAGAAUUGGCCCAAGCAACUGUUUAGCAAAAACACAGGUCUAUGCAAAACCGUAAGGUGAAGUAUAUGGGCUGACGCCUGCCCGGUGCUGGAAGGUUAAGAGGAGAGGUUAGCGGUAACGCGAAGCUUUGAAUUUAAGCCCCAGUAAACGGCGGCCGUAACUAUAACGGUCCUAAGGUAGCGAAAUUCCUUGUCGGGUAAGUUCCGACCCGCACGAAAGGCGUAAUGAUUUGGGCACUGUCUCAACAAUGCACCCGGUGAAAUUGAAAUACCAGUGAAGAUGCUGGUUACCUGCGCCAGGACGGAAAGACCCCAUGGAGCUUUACUCCAGCUUGAUACUGGGAUUCGGUAUUGCAUGUACAGGAUAGGUGGGAGGCUAGGAAGUGAUAACGCCAGUUGUCACGGAGCCGCUGUUGGGAUACCACCCUUGCAGUAUUGGAUUUCUAACCAGCGACCAUGAACUGGUCGGGGGACAAUGUCAGGUGGGGAGUUUGACUGGGGCGGUCGCCUCCGAAAGGGUAUCGGAGGCGCUCAAAGGUUCCCUCAGAAUGGACGGAAACCAUUCGAAGAGUGCAAAGGCAGAAGGGAGCUUGACUGCGACACCGACG
rnacentral:rRNA from 1 species